AAUACAGUGGCUAACUGUGUUAGGACUUGGCGCUAAAAACUCCAAGGUCAUGGGUUCAAACCCCACCUGUAACA